UACGGAGGGGGCUAGCGUUGUUCGGAAUUACUGAGCGUAAAGCGCACGUAGGCGGCUUUGCAAGUUAGAGGUGAAAGCCCGGGGCUCAACCCCGGAAUUGCCUUUAAGACUGCAUCGCCCGAAUCCAGGAGAGGUGAGUGGAAUUCCGAGUGUAGAGGUGAAAUUCGUAGAUAUUCGGAAGAACACCAGUGGCGAAGGCGGCUCACUGGCCCGGUACUGACGCUGAGGUGCGAAAGCGUGGGGAGCAAACAGG
rnacentral:rRNA from 1 species